rnacentral:RNase_P_RNA from 1 species
UGAGAAUACUGGGCGGCCGCUUCGAUUUUUUUGUCGGAGAGGAAAGUCCGAACACCACCUUCGGGUAAUAGGUAGUUCCUAACGGGAACCGUUAUGACGGUGACGUUAUAAUAGGGCCAGUGCCACAGAGACAAUACUAGUUCUGCUUGCAGAAUGAAAGGUGAAAAGUUAGGCGGUGUGCAUUAUGUGCUACGCCUGUUCCUACCGCGUGAGCGGACAGGAUGGUAAACCCUAUCUGGUGCAAGAGUAAAUUUGGUAACUCGCUAGAUCUGUCAGGCGACUGACGGGCCAGAGAGAUGGUCGCCACCCCGACUUGUCGGGGUACAGAAUUCGGCUUAUAGGUAUUCUCUCCUC